UAGGGAAUCUUCCACAAUGGACGGAAAGUCUGAUGGAGCAACGCCGCGUGAGUGAAGAAGGGUUUCGGCUCGUAAAACUCUGUUGUUAAAGAAGAACAUAUCUGAGAGUAACUGUUCAGGUAUUGACGGUAUUUAACCAGAAAGCCACGGCUAACUACGUGCCCG
rnacentral:rRNA from 1 species